UAAAUUAUAUAUGAAGAUGAAUUCAAAAAGGUAACCAGACAAUUCCUCUUUUUUAUAUUCUCAAUGCAUACGAUAUGGUCAUCUAUUUCUUCCUCUGUUGGAGGGGCAUCAGAUAUGUCUGCAAUCUUAUGAAUAUCAAAAAUCAAAAUCUGAGAACCUAAGCAGCUACUAUUUUUAACCUAAACGAAAUAUCAGAAUGGCAACACAACAGUAAGAGACGCUAUUGGUGUUCAAUUGUGGGCUGCCCACCAAUGCCAUGUGCCCUACAAGUCCAACACUCGGUUGCUGCAAUGGAUAAAUUUAAAAAUGAGCAAAAAGUUGAGUAUUGAAAAAUGUCCUACAUGCAUGGUUUUAAAUUGCAGUUGUGGAAUUGUAGUUUUAUGUUGCUGAGACUUCAACAUCCGCAAUUAUAGUUGUUGGAGUGCCAAUUUAAAACUAUUUGUAUGCACAAGUCUGUAAAAGUUUUAGUUGUCAUUACAUAUACACAUACCUAAACCCCACUCAUUGUCAUACCACAGACCAGCUAUCACAAAGACUUAUAAGCCCAAUCCCACCUUAGCAUCAAAGAUACUCGACCUGUUAAUAAAGAAAUACAUUUAAAUUAAAACGCUUACUUGGCCAACAACAUAUCCUAACACAACAGAAAAAACUGCGACUAAUAUCAUAAAAGAGCGAGAUAAAUAAAGUUUAGUUUUAAGAACAAUAAAAAUCUGCUUUGAGCAUUAUUAAAUGAAAAUUCAAAAUGUGCAUAAUUACCAGAUUUUAGCCAUGUAUACUAAGAUAAAAGCACAAGAGUCUGUCCUCUUAAAGAUGCUGGUUCUCGUGUAUGACAAUAAGUGGGUUAUAGUGUAUGUGUAUAUUGUAAUUCAACUAAACUUUACAGAACUUGUGAUAACAAAUCUUAGUUUUAAUUGCACUCCACAACUAUAAUUGCGGAUGUGAAGUCUCAGAACAUAAACUACAAUUUCCACAACUGCAAUUUAAAACAUGCAUUGUAGGACUUUUCAAUACUCACUUUUUGCUCAACUUUUUAUUUUAUCCAUUGCCAGCACGAUGUUGGACCUUGUAGGGACAUGGCAUUGGGUGGCGAGCCCACAAUUGAACACAAUAGCGUCUCUUACUGUUGGUGUUGCCAUUUGAUAUUCGUUUAUCGCUUACAAAUUAGUAGCCCCUGCUUGUUCUCGUUGUGAUUUUUGAUUCAUAAGAUUGAGACAUAUCUGAUGCCCCUCCAACAGGGAAGAAAUAGUAUGACAUAUCGUAUUGCAUUGAGAUUAUAAUAAAGAGGAAUUGUCCUGGUUACCUUUUUGACGUCAUCUUCAUAUAUAAUUAUAUCUUUUAGAAUGCGCGUGUGAGAUGUGUCAUUGACGUAGACAGUUUAGUUAUAUGCAUACAGCACUCUGAAGAACAAUCCAGUAAAAAAAAACAAUUCGUUCAUUAAUGAUUUAUAGAAUUACAGAACGAUUGUUUUAUGUAAUUCUCUAUGUCUGUCACGUUUCUAGUUUCAGCUUUUUACAACCAUGGUUUGGAAGUUUCUAAUUUUUAGCUUCAUCUGGGUUUCUAACGAUAAUCUUUUAUUCUAAUAUACAUGUUUCAUUCUAAAUUAAUCUUUUGUAAAAUCCCUUACUAAAAAAAAAAAACAAUGUGAUUUUUUUACUCAACUUGUUGCAGAUUUUUUUUCUACUCUGGUGGGUUUUAGGCGCUUGGAAGACUGAUUCUCCCCAAGCAACGUUUCGGGAAAAGUAUCAGCGAUGAAAGGACAUUUUCUGCACUUGAGGACUGAAGUGCUGUUGCAGAAAAACUGGUAUAUGUUCUUGUCAUAUUGUUUCAUUUUUCAGGAAUUUUGAUUUCAAAAUUUUAAAUGUUGUCAUCAUAAUUGUUAGUUGAUAGUUUGAAUUGUGGAGAUCCUCUUAAGUUAAACUCCAUUGUCAUGAGGGAAUUUCCUUCAGUUUAGGUUACAGUUUUUUCACUAUGCUAAUGACACUAUGAGAUUGCUGGAGUUUGAUUAGAAAGUGUUUAGUUAUAUUGAAUCAUAAACAAAGAUGGUCAUGCAAGCUUACUGUUUGCAGUGGAGCUGCCUGAAUGCUGUCCACAGACAUGCAGAAAGAGGGCCUUCCAUGGGGAACGUGAUCUUUAAACUGAAACUACUCUUUGAGCCGUACUUUGAUUCUUGACUCUUUCUUUCUAAACAUUUUCUGUUUAUGAUAGAGGUCAAUUCUCUGGCUUGGGUUCUUACCUCUGCGACAAGCCUUUGUUAAAAGAAAAGUUUGUUAAUAUGUUCAAGUUCUUUAAGGAUUUGUCAUGAUCACCAUCGCUUUACUAUACUUACUAUAUUUCUCUUUGCAAGCUACUAAAAAAGAUGCCGGGCUUCAAAUCUAUAGCGUCGGAAUAAGAGCUAGUUGACUUUACAAAACUACUCAGUCAAGUGAGGAUUCUUGAGGCAUGCAUCAAAAUUGCUGGAAAGCUGAAUUCCCGUUUCAGUUAAGAUUAAUAGGUAUAUGUUUCUGUUAACCUUGCUUUAUGCUUGACCAUUAUUCGAUGAGUGCUCAAGGCCAAUAUAGAGGGUGGCUUUCUGUAUAUAGAUAUAGUCUAUGAGCAAGUUCACAUUAGUUCCUUGUAUAAGUCUUGCCAUAACAGAUUUUUCUUUCUCUUAGGGUCUUAGAGUAUCACAGUUUAACGGAGAUAAAAGUGGUAGUUGGUUGCUACCCUUGGUCGAGUACAGCAGAAGACUAUUACCAAUUUCAUUACUCCAUGGAGAAGCAAUAGGAAAAAGGACCUUUUUCAGUAUGUUACAGGCAUCAUGACUUUUCAGUGAUAUAGAACUGAUCCAUUCGAUUGUAUGUUUGGGACACAAGCAUACCUUGAUAGCAGAGAUCCUUUUGAUCGGUAAUCUUUCAUUAGAUGGUAAUCACCAAAGCUGCCUCUUGCGAAAUGUAUGGUGCCCCAGAGAAGGUUAUAUCUCCUUUUUCUCUUUUUUUUGUCGAAGUAGCUGACAUAUAUUGAUAUAGUUUCAGUUUCCGCAAUCGAAUAAUUGCUUCUGGCGGAUUGAGGAGCAUGUUGAUGUUUUGCNNNNNNNNNNNNNNNNNNNNNNNNNAAGCGCUUAAAAACAUCAAACAUGCCUCCCUCAAUCGCCAAAGCAGCAUUAUUCAGAUGCGGAAACUGACCCUAUAUCAAUAUAUGUCAGCUACUUCGAAAAUAAAGAGAGGAAAAGGAAGAUUACCUUCUCGCACCAUAUUUUUCCAGAGAGUUGCAGCUUUUGGUGAUUACAUCUAAUGAAUGAUUACAUAAAGGAUCUCUGCUAUCAAGCGGCUUGUUGGCCCAACAUCAAUCGAAGGAUUUUCUUUCAAUCACUGAUUAAAGUCAUGAUCUGUAACAUCUGAAAAAGGGUCCUUUUUCCUAUUGGCUUCUCCUGAAGUAAUGAAAUUGGUAAUAGUCUUCUGUGUACGACCAGGGGUAGCACCACUACCACUUUUAUCUCCGUUUAAACUGGUGAUACUCUAAGACCAAGAGGAAAGAAAAAUCUGUAUGCACUGACUAUACAAGGAACUUAAUGUGAACUUGCCUCAUAGACUAUAGCUAUAAGCAGAAGCACCUCUUAUAUUGGCCUUGAGCACCAUCUGAAUAAUUGGUCAACAAUAAAGCAAGUUAACAGAAACAUAUACCUAUUAAUCUUACUGAAACGGGAAGUUCAGCUUUCAGCAAUUUUGAUGCAUGCUUCAGAAUAUCCUCACUUGACUUGAUGUAGUUUUGUAAAGUCACAGCUCUAUUCCGAACCUAUAGAUUGAGCAUUUUUUUAGUAUUGCAAGGAAAUAUAGUAAGAUAGUAAAAUUGCAUGGUGAUCAUGAAAUCCUUAAAGGAACUUGAACAAUAUUAACAACUUUUCUUUUAACAAAGCUUUGUCCAGAGGUAAGAGAACCAAGCCAGAGAAUUGACCUCUAUCAUAACAGAAAAUUGUUUAGAAAGAAACAGAGUCAAGAAAUCACAAGUACCUCAAAGAAGUAGUUUUCAGUUUAGAGAUCAACGUUCGCCCAUGAGGCCCUCUUUCUGCAUGUCUGUGACAGCAUUCAGCAAGCUCCACUGCAAACAUCUAAGCUUGCAUGACUCAUCUUUUUUAUGAUUCAAUAUAAACUAAACACUUAUCUAAUUCAAAAAACUCAGCAUUCAUACUGUUCAUUAGCAUGUGUAACAAAACUGAUACCGUAAUACUGAAGGAACUCUCAUUGACAAAUGGAGUUUAACUUAAGAGAUCUUCCACAAAUUCAAACUGAUUCAACUACAAUUAUGAUGAACAACAUUUAAAAGUUUGAAAUCAAAAUUCCCUUGAAAAAUGAACAAUAAUUGACAAGACAGUUAUACCAGUUUUUUUCUGCACAGCACUUCGUCCUCAGUGAGGAAAAUGUCCUUUCAUGUGAUACUUCCGAAAACUUGCUUGGGGAGAAUCAGUCUUUCCAAGCCCUAAACCCACAGAGUAAAAAAAUCUGCAACAAUUAUGAUAAAAAAUCACAUGUUAGUAGGAUUUACAAGAAUUAAUUUAGAGAUGAAACAUGUAUGAUUAGAAAUAAAGAUUAUCGUUAACCCCAGAUGAAGCUAAAAUUAGAAUUCCCAACAAUGGUUGUAGAAAGCUGAACUAGAAAGUGAACAGAACAUAGAGAAUUAAUAAAACAAUCGUUUCUGUAAUUACUUUAUAAAUAAUUAAGAACUGAAUUGUUUUUUUUUACUGGAUUGUUCUUCAGAGGUGCUGUAUGCAUAUACUAACUGCUUACGUCAAUGACACAUCUCACACGAGCAUUUCUAAAAGAUAUUAAAUUAUAUAUGAAGAUGAAUUCAAAAAGUAACCAGACAAUUCCUCUUUUUAUAUUCUCAUGCAUACGAUAUGGUCAUCUAUUUCUUCCUCUGUUGGAGGGGCAUCAGAUAUGUCUCAAUCUUAUGAAUAUCAAAAAUCAAAAUCUGAGAACCUAAGCAGCUACUAAUUUUUAACCUAAACGAAAUAUCAGAAUGGCAACACAACAGUAAGAGACGCUAUUGGUGUUCAAUUGUGGGCUCCCACCAAUGCCAUGUGCCCUACAAGGUCCAACACUCGGUG
rnacentral:lncRNA from 1 species